rnacentral:lncRNA from 1 species
AUUAGUAGCUCACGUGGCUCAUCUCACUUCUUGCGUACAUACAAAAGGAAACUCUGAAUAGCUCUAAUUCUUCUCUAGGAAUUUUGGAAUUUAGUCAAAGGGCAGACAGCUGUGGAUGACGAUUAUGGAACAGAUGAGCCAAGCCCUGCCAUUUUUGUCAUUCUGCUGGACAUUCACACCAGGCUGUUUUUUGUUGGCUCAACAUAGUGGUCUUCAUCUCUCCUCAGUCAGUGUAUCUAUGCAGACACACAAUAUCUAUCCACCUGCCUUUGACCACACUGUUACAUGUUUUGGCUUCUCAGUGGUUAACCCUACACCAGAAGAUCAUUAACUGCAGGUGUGAGAACCGGAGGCUGAAAACACAGCCUUGAAAGCGCAAACUGCACCUCAAUGCUGCUGGAGUAAUGCCUGCAGGGGCAACGUUUAGCACAUGGGCUGUGGGAAAAGUUGCCAUAUGCAAGAACUUGGAGGAAACUUACCUCUUGCCUUGAUCCCACCAGCCUGCAGAGUCUGACCCUGGGGUCUAGGGCUGUGCUCAUGAUUUUGAAGUCUUCCAGCACAAGAAAGCAACUUUUACUUAAGCACCUCUGGAUCAAGGCUAGGCAACCAGAUGAAAGCAGUUCAGUUACUGAACCUGUUUUCACUUUCAAAACUGAUACAGCUGUGAAACACCUCAAAAUGAAAUAAAGCUCUUCUGUUCUCACA